UGGGGAAUUGUUCGCAAUGGGCGCAAGCCUGACGACGCAACGCCGCGUGGAGGACGAAGAUCUUCGGGUCGUAAACUCCUGUCGAGUGGGAAGAAUGGAUCGAGGGUGAAUAAUCCUCGGUAUUGACGGUACCACUAAAGGAAGCCCCGGCUAACUCCGUGCCAGCAGCCGCGGUAAUACGGGGGGGGCAAGCGUUGUUCGGAAUUACUGGGCGUAAAGGGCUCGUAGGCGGCCAACUAAGUCGGACGUGAAAUCCCCAGGCUCAACCUGGGAACUGCGUCCGAUACUGGAUGGCUUGAAUUCGGGAGAGGGAUGCAGAAUUCCAGGUGUAGCGGUGAAAUGCGUAGAUAUCUGGAGGAAUACCGGUGGCGAAGGCGGCAUCCUGGACCGACAUUGACGCUGAGGAGCGAAAGCUAGGGGAGCAAAC
rnacentral:rRNA from 1 species